rnacentral:rRNA from 1 species
CGCGAGGAACCUUACCUGGGCUUAAAUGUAGGCUGCAUUCCGCUGAAAGGUGGAUUUCCGCAAGGACUGCUUACAAGGUGCUGCAUGGUUGUCGUCAGCUCGUGCCGUGAGGUGUCGGGUUAAGUCCCAUAACGAGCGCAACCCCUACCGUUAGUUGCCAUCAGGUCAUGCUGGGAACUCUAGCGGGACUGCCACCGUAAGGUGAGAGGAAGGUGGGGAUGACGUCAAAUCAGCACGGCCCUUAUGUCCAGGGCUACACACGUGUUACAAUGGCAGGUACAAAGGGCAGCUACACCGCGAGGUGAUGCUAAUCUCUAAAGCCUGUCUCAGUUCGGAUCGCAGUCUGAAACCCGACUGCGUGAGUUGGAUUCGCUAGUAAUCGCGCAUCAGCCAUGGCGCGGUGAAUACGUUCCCGGG